rnacentral:rRNA from 1 species
UACGUAGGCAGCAAGCGUUGUUCGGAGUUACUGGGCGUAAAGGGUGUGUAGGUGGCCUGUUAAGUUCCGUGUGAAAUCUCCCGGCUCAACCGGGAGGGUGCGCGGAAAACUGGCGGGCUAGAGUACGGGAUGGGAGAGUAGAAUUCCUGGUGUAGCGGUGAAAUGCGUAGAGAUCGGAAAGAACACCAACGGCGAAAGCACUCUGCUGGGCCGACACUGACACUGAGAGACGAAAGCUAGGGGAGCGAAUGGG